rnacentral:lncRNA from 1 species
CCAGUUUGAUUAAAUAUGCAGAGUAUUGAUAAAUAGAGGGCUAAAGGGAACAAAGUUCUGAGCUUUAUCGAUAUACUUGUUAUAUGGAGAAGCUCCUUAGUUGAGUUGUUACCUUCAAUUCAGACGGGGUUUAAGCUUUGGUACCCGAAGAAGAAGCUCUAGCGCUCCAACGGUUGAUUUUCUUCGGUAAUGGCUGCUUCAAAGAG